rnacentral:lncRNA from 1 species
CCAACGUGAAUAUGGUUACCGUAUAAUUCAUCCCUUUUGACCCCUGUGUUUAGGACGACUCAGGGUUAAACUGUCAACCCUGAUGAGAUCAUCCGAAUCAUGCUCAACUCAAUUAGUCCUGUGACUCCUCACUAGGACUACCCUGGCCAAGGUUUUGCUAAAUUGAAACACGACUGUACACAGCUCCUAAACUGGAGUGGUCAAUCCCAUCUUGACACACGCACCGAUAAGUCAAGUACUUGACU